AACCCCUGAUUGCGGAGAAAGUAUUGCAUGAUGAAAUUGACAUUGCAUAAAAUAUAUAGAAAUCAACGACAACGGAAGCCCGCAAUGAACGGUGUUUUAAUCUUUUGCUGACGACAACUUCCAAAUCUACAUAGGACCAGGAUUGUUUAAGGGAACAAGAAAUCUUCAUAGGGAUACAUAGAUUGAACAUUUUCUAAAUGGAUCCACAGAACUCUGUGUCUCACCUGCAGUUGAUGCUGUUAGUGUAAAAGUGUGAUGUUGACUAUAAAAAUUUCAGCAACAGAAUGAAGAAUUCCAAGAGUCUAAUACGGUUUAUUAAACAGGAUUUUAUCAUUGAAUCAACAUCCUACAAGAAUAUAACAUACAAAUAAGUAAUUAUGUGCAGGGAAGAACAUUUAAACAAAGCUGUAAGAGACAUACAGUGGUGGUGUAUUUUUAAAGAGACCGAAAGAACCUAUAAUAACUUGAAAAUUUAGUUUUAAAUGAAACAUUUAAGUACAAAACAUUGAAAUAGUCCUUUCCAUGUUGUGUGACAUGUAGAAAUUUUAUGCUUUCACCAUUCAUGUAGCUCCGUAUAGAGGAAUGGAUCCCUGUCCCCCUCCCCCAAAAAAAAACGCAUUCGUAUCCGACAGCAAUCAAUCGAUAAAAAACACCAAACAAAAAUCAAAAGGGAAACAUACCAUCGACACUUGAUACAUGUAGCAUGCUCUGCAUUGUGAAUGAAAACUAAAUCAACAAAGAUUUUUUUUAUGUUUUUUUGACAUGAGACAAGCAAUGAGAAGGUUCCUACCUUGGUACAGGCGUUUGAAUAAAUU